ACAGUGCAAGGCAGGUGGAGCCCAUGUGCCAGAGGCAUGGCCUUAGACUGCUGUGUCUGUGGCCAAGACAGACCCCACCUACACUAAGACAUACCUCCCUAACUGCACCUCCCCCAAGGCCCAGGGGCCUUUGCUCCACAAAGUAAUAGUGGUGGGGAAUAGUGUCACAAGUGAGGUCACAAAAGGACCAAGAGUAUUGUGGCUGUCUCACAACAGCUCCUCCAAAAUGCCCUACCCUAACCUGUCUCCCUAGGACACAAAGGUCCUCCCACUCAAAGGACUUGGGGCAGGGGAAUAGGGCACACAGGGCCAGCAAUCUGCUCUGUGAGGAGGGCAACAGCAGCUCCCCUGAUCUCUCUCCCAAGGGUGACGCACGUUAUCAUUGGGGUACAGGACACGAGAGAUGUUCUCGGCCAGAUUUCGGUCCAGCACAGCCUGGAUGUAGCCACCAACAUUGACUGAGGGACAAAGGGGAACAGGACUGGAACUCAAGACAUUGUUCCCAAAUUCUGCCAACUCCCAACCUCUAGUCCCAGCAAACUGUGAGCAAACUAUGUAACCUCUGAACCUCAUCUAUGAAAAGAGGACAUCCUGACAUCUCCCCAGACACCAACUUCUGCCUUGUUCAGAUUAUCAUGAGGGUUAUGAGGAGAAGCAGAGCUACAACCCCAGAACCCAAGGUCCAAACCAGGCCACAAGUGUCUUCCUGGCCACCAACAACCCUCCAACUUUUUCUGAGUGGGAGCCGAGCCUUUGCAAGCAGCCCACAAGCCCUCAGCAGCCCUCUUCCAGUCAGGUCUCUCCCCCUUGGUUGCCCCAGCAACCCUUGCUCCUGGCACCCCUGGAUCCAUGACUCCAAGACCCUGGAGCAACCACCUAUUUUGCUGCAGAAACCCUGGGCUCCAGGAAGGAGCAGCCACUUGGACGAGAUCUUCCAGCUCCCUGGGGCCAAGGAAGCAGAUCAGAGGCCUGGACAGCUGCAGGAUGCUAUUGAGAGCCUGGUUCCUGGAUGGCCAGGCCCUUUCUGAGAACUUUCUGAGUUGUAGCAGACCCACCUCCUGGCUCUGGAAUCAACAGCUAUGUUUCAGGCUGGCCUUGAACUUGAAAUCCUCUCCAAGCAGCUUCCUUGUGGGUUUUCAGCGUCGUGCCAACAGCCCCUACUUGACUGUCUCCAGGCUCUUAGCAGCACACCAUCCCUCCUCCAUCCUGCAUGCUCCAGUUCAGCUUGUCAAAGCACAAGCCUGCCCACUGCCUCCCAAUUUCCUCCACUGCCCCACCCCCAUUUAGGUUUAUUUUAAUAAAUCCUGAAAGCACAUUUUUCUACCUGCACAAGGUUAUGUCACACUAAGAUUCUAACCAGAAACCCAGCCUCCCCGUCUAGACCAAUCUUGGGUUUCUACAGAGCAUUUGGCUAGGUCUCAGUAACAGAGCCCUGGAGCUGACCUUUCCAAACUGGCAAGGUCCAAGUGGAGGGGUGGGGACACUGCUACAGCAGCACGAAUUGGAUGGGGAAGGUUUGGCCCUAAUGGUAGGAUGAGGGCUUUUCCCCCACAGCUCCUAUCACAAUGAAAUGGCCUUUUUCACACCCAAGGCCAAGUGGUGCUUCCUGCUGCCCUAUCGCCACCCCCACCCCCCCAUGACAGGUACUGUAUCUCCAAGGGCCAAUGGCUUCCAUUUCAGGGCCUCAGGCAGCUCGGAGAAUGAAGCCUUCUCAGCCACUUUAUUACUCUACAAAACCUAACAAAAGCUGCCUUAGGGAACAGAGAGGGAGCACAGGAAUGGAGCUGGCCCCAGGGGAGAGAAAGAGGAGAUAGCUACGCUGUGGUUAAGUCAUUUAUUGAUUUUAUUUCUAAAACCCACAUAGCGCCACUUUGCUGUUUCCAGAGCUUCAAAGAGCUAAUUAACCGCCCAAUGAGCCCACCAGGGAAACCAAGCUUGUGGGGGAAGCAAUGAGGUGAAGCAAUGAGGUGAAGCCAAGGUCAAAGAGGGUAGCCAAGCCCCAGGCACUGCCCCCACCCCCACCAGUUAACACAAAAGGAAGUCUCCCUCCAUCCCCUUUCAGCUUAGAGACUGGUUAGGAACCCCACCAAACCUUCCUUGCCUCUGAGGGUUCCUCAAGCUCUACAGCCCACAAGCUUCCUGGACAGGGCCCAGGCACCCAGGCUGGUCUCCAACUAAACAGUAGCCAACCCCUUGCUCAAAGCUGGAAAGCAGCCCAAGGCGGAGUUGCUAUCCCUAGUGGCCAGAUGCCAGGGGCCGCAGGAGCCUAUAGUCCCUCAGCUUCCCUGAAGAAAGCAAAGGCUGGCAGGAAGGUACAGA